UGGAAUUCAUAUAAACUCUCUGAGCCCCAGU
rnacentral:piRNA from 2 species